GCAAAGGAAGACAAAGAACUGAUUUUGCCUGAGCUGGCAGCAUUUUCCUCUUGGCCUUGCUGUUCAUGGAGCAUUUUCAGAUUGGCAGGAGGCACUUAUGCCGUUGAUGAGAAACUCGCAGGAGCAAACAUGGAGUAUGAAUACCACUGAAACAAAUUUCAAAGAGAUCCAGGUCUGCUGUGGUUGAUCUUCCUCUCUACCAUCAUCUCAUUCUGACUAUGGAUAAAAGCACCUGUUUCUUGAUUUAAAGAAAACUGCUGCAGAAUUCAGUGGAGGGCUGGAAGGACAAAUGCUACGUUGGUGGAGUUCACCAGUACCCUUGUAUCCACUGUUCUUCCACUGACAGAAAAUAGUUUCUUGCCACUAUGUGAAGACACAGAUAUUUGUACUUUGGCCACGACUGAAGAGUUAAGCCCUUAUUUUGUGUGCAUAAGGUGAAAAAAAAAAAAAAAAAAAAAAAAGGACUGAGUGGUUUUUACUCAUAUGCAUUUAAUUACAGUUGCUUUCAGCUGAGCCUUGGGUUGACCUGGCCUUUGUCCAGGUGCUUGGAGAGGAAAUGCAGCAUUUACCUUCAUGAGGCACCAUGUAACAAGACUUGUGCCCUAUGGUCCGUACUUUGGGAAGGAGGAGGAAGAAGAAGAAAAAAAGGAG
ensembl:lncRNA